rnacentral:lncRNA from 1 species
CAGCAAGUGGAGCUCUACCGGGGCAGAAGAGCAGUGCAGCAGGACUCCCCCUUGUUAAGAUACUUAUACACAUGGAUAAGAGGAUAAGAUCGCUCCUGAGCCUUCUCUUCCUAUGGCUGAACACUUCCAGCUUUCAGCUGGCCCUCUCCAGCAGGUCCAUGUCGCUCUUGUACUGGGGAGCCCAGAACUGGACACAGCGCUCUAGAUGUGGUCUCACCAGGGCUGAGCAGAGGGGAAGGAUCACCUCCCUCCACCUGCUGGCAACAAUUUUCCUAAUGGAGCCCAGGAUGCUGUUGGCCUUCUUUGCCACAAGGGCACUUUGCUGGCUUACGGAACCUCCCUGA